rnacentral:rRNA from 1 species
GUGUCAGCAGCCGCGGUAAGACAGAGGUGCCGAGCGUUAGGCGGAAUCACUGGGCUUAAAGCGUGUGUAGGCGGGCCGUUAAGUGCCCCGUGAAAUCCCCCGGCUCAACCGGGGAACUGCGGGGCAUACUGGCGGCCUUGAGCCACUUAAGGGCAGACGGAACAAGCGGUGGAGCGGUGAAAUGCGUAGAUAUCGCUUGGAACGCCGACGGCGAAAGCAGUCUGCUGGGGGUGUGCUGACGCUGAGACACGAAAGCCAGGGGAGCGAACGGGAUUAGAAACCCGCGUAGUCC